rnacentral:rRNA from 1 species
UACGUAGGGGGCAAGCGUUGUCCGGAUUUACUGGGCGUAAAGAGCGUGUAGGCGGCCACGCAGGUCCGUUGUGAAAACUGGAGGCUCAACCUCCAGCUGUCGACGGAAACCGUAUGGCUAGAGUCCGGAAGAGGAGAGUGGAAUUCCUGGUGUAGCGGUGAAAUGCGCAGAUAUCAGGAAGAACACCAACGGCGAAGGCAGCUCGCUGGGACGGUACUGACACUGAGGCGCGAAAGCGUGGGGAGCGAACAGG